UACGUAGGGGGCAAGCGUUGUUCGGCGUUACUGGGCGUAAAGGGCGCGUGGGCGGCGCGUAAAGUCGGACUUGAAAUCAUUGGGCUUAACCCGAUGGCUGUGCCCGUUACUUGCGUGCUUAGAGUGCGGGAGAGGCAAUCGGAAUUCUCGGUGUAGCGGUGAAAUGCGUAGAUAUCGAGAGGAACUCCGGUGACGAAGGUGGGUUGCUGGACCGACACUGACGCUGAGGCGCGAAAGCUAGGGGAGCAAAUGGG
rnacentral:rRNA from 1 species